CUCGAAAAAGGCACAACCGGCGCGAGCCGGUGUCGCAAAGCUACGGAUGCCAGGCCGUCCAGGUCAGGCAUGGCCGAGCUACCGAGC
rnacentral:ncRNA from 1 species